rnacentral:rRNA from 1 species
AGAACGAACGCUGGCGGCGUGGGUAAGACAUGCAAGUCGAACGGGACUUAAUCUGUAGCAAUACAGGUUAAGUUUAGUGGCGAACGGGUGCGUAACACGUGGGCAAUCUGCCGAGAAGUGGGGGAUAGCUCGCCGAAAGGCGAAUUAAUACCGCAUAUGAUCAGGGACGACAUCUUCCCAACAUCAAAGCCGGGGUAACCUGGCGCUUCUUGAUGACGCCCGCGGCCUAUCAGUCUAGUUGGUGAGGUAACGGCUCACCAAGGCUAUGGACGGGUAGCUGGUCUGGACGAGGACCGACCAGUCACACUGGAACUGAGACACGGUCCAGACCACCGUACGGGUGCAGCAGUACGAAUUAAUUUUUCACGUAAGUACGGGGGAAACCCUAGGAACGGACGCCGACGCCGGACGGUGGGAGGUAGUAGG